GCUGGCGGCGCGCCCAACACAUGCAAGUCGAACGAGAAAGUGGAGCAAUCCAUGAGUACAGUGGCGUACGGGUGAGUAACACGUGGGUGAUCUACCUCUUAGUGAGGAAUAACCCUGGGAAACCGGGGCUAAUACCGCAUAAGCCUGAGAAGGGAAAGCAGCAAUGCGCUGAGAGAGGAGCCCGCGGCCGAUUAGCUAGUUGGUGAGGUAAAAGCCCACCAAGGCAGAGAUCGGUAGCCGGCCUGAGAGGGCACACGGCCACACUGGCACUGAAACACGGGCCAGACUCCUACGGGAGGCAGCAGUGGGGAAUCUUGCACAAUGGGGGAAACCCUGAUGCAGCGACGCCGCGUGAGCGAUGAAGCCCUUCGGGGUGUAAAGCUCUUUCGUCAGGGAAGAUCAUGACGGUACCUGGAGAAGCAGCUGCGGCUAACUACGUGCCAGCAGCCGCGGUAAUACGUAGGCAGCAAGCGUUGUUCGGAGUUACUGGGCGUAAAGGGUGUGUAGGCGGUUCUUUAAGUUUGGUG
rnacentral:rRNA from 1 species